GGGUGUGAGGGCGAUCUGGCUGUGACACCUGUCACCCCAUUGAGGGCCACAGUUGAUUCAACUGAUCUAGCUGAUGAGGUAGGUGUCCCCUUCCUCCCUUCCCCCUCCACUUGUGUCCUUCCCAAAGCUGCAUGCUCAUUGGAAGAGAAUGACUUCCCUGGAUAAAGAAGGACUGUUAUUUUGUCAAAGGUAUAAUGGUAGCUGUGCUCCUCUGCUAGAAGCUCCAAAAUAGCUCUCAAACUGGUGCGAAAGGUACAUUUUUCUUGUAUUACAAGUAGCUGCCAUGGGGUUGGAGAACAUAAAUAUAGUCCCUGGAUUAUGGACAACUCGAUUUAAGGGCAACCUGAUUUAUGGCAUUCUGU
rnacentral:snRNA from 1 species